rnacentral:rRNA from 1 species
AACGAACGCUGGCGGCAUGCCUAACACAUGCAAGUCGAACGAGACCUUCGGGUCUAGUGGCGCACGGGUGCGUAACGCGUGGGAACCUGCCCUUAGGUUCGGUAUAAAUCCCCGAAAGGGGUGCUAAUAACGGAUAAUGUCUUCGGACCAAAGAUUUAUCGCCUUUGGAUGGGCCCGCGUUGGAUUAGCUAGUUGGUAGGGUAAAAGCCUACCAAGGCGACGAUCCAUAGCUGGUCUGAGAGGAUGAUCAGCCACACUGGGACUGAGACACGGCCCAGACUCCUACGGGAGGCAGCAGUGGGGAAUAUUGGACAAUGGGCGAAAGCCUGAUCCAGCAAUGCCGCGUGAGUGAUGAAGGCCUUAGGGUUGUAAAGCUCUUUUACCCGGGAUGAUAAUGACAGUACCGGGAGAAUAAGCUCCGGCUAACUCCGUG